CAAGCUUCACUGACUGAGCCAGCUAAGUGCCCCUCCUUUUUUCUUCUGAUUAUAUAUUGUAUGCUUAAUUUAAGGGUAUAGUUCUUAAGGACAAUGCUAGGUACAUAUAGUAGGUGCUAAAUAAACUCUUGUUGAACUAAAUAAGAAUAACUGACAUGCUGAAAUUAUAAACAAUUUUUUUAGGUUAUUGGAUUAUAAACUACUAGUAAUAGCUAGCAACUCAUGGGGUCUAAAGAUUUUUAAGUAAAUUGCCUCAAUCAAUGAUACUAUGAGGUGACAAAUAUCUUGACCUAUACAAAGAAAUACUUUUUCAAAAAGAGAAAUGCAGCAAUUGAACUUACUUUAUUAUGGAAAAGUAUACCUUCUGCCAUGAAAUAAAAGAAUUGUACUAUACCUUUUCCUUCCCAGGCAUCAAAGGCAUCCAUCAUUUUCUUCAGUUCGGCUACUGAAUAAUAGCUCCAAAUGUACUGAACAUUAUUUCCCGCCUCUCUAGAAAUAUUGCAAAAGUUGCAGAACCCAUACAACCAUGCAGAUUCCUGAAGGUGAUCUGGAACCGAAUCAACGGUCUCUUCAUGUUACUGUCCUAAUAACCAUACUGACAGCUCACUCUCCUAAAGUGAUAUCCAAAUCAAACCAAUUCAGGAAAAUAUAUUCUGAGCUCCUUGGGGGAUUUUAGAUGCAUAUACCCACUAUGGACUCAAAGGUCAUGGAGACCGACUGCUGCUGAAACGAGCAGCCCCACAACGAUCCAUGUGAGAGAAACACCUCUGAAGCACAGAUGGAACCAGUUCAUGCUGCCCCAGUUACCAGCUCCCUGGAAUCCACCUAUUCUUCAAAGCUACAGGCAAAUCUCACAAGUUGCAUGACCUUCCCUAGCACCUCCCAGUUAGAAUCUGUGCACAGUCGACCAAAUAUACUUUGUAACUCUC